rnacentral:rRNA from 1 species
CCUACGGGAGGCAGCAGUGGGGAAUAUUGCACAAUGGGCGCAAGCCUGAUGCAGCAACGCCGCGUGAGGGACGACGGCCUUCGGGUUGUAAACCUCUUUUAGUAGGGAAGAAGCGAAAGUGACGGUACCUGCAGAAAAAGCACCGGCUAACUACGUGCCAGCAGCCGCGGUAAUACGUAGGGUGCAAGCGUUGUCCGGAAUUAUUGGGCGUAAAGAGCUCGUAGGCGGUUUGUCGCGUCUGCUGUGAAAACCCGAGGCUCAACCUCGGGCCUGCAGUGGGUACGGGCAGACUAGAGUGCGGUAGGGGGGAUUGGAAUUCCUGGUGUAGCGGUGGAAUGCGCAGAUAUCAGGAGGAACACCGAUGGCGAAGGCAGAUCUCUGGGCCGUAACUGACGCUGAGGAGCGAAAGCAUGGGGAGCGAACAGGAUUAGAUACCCUGGUAGUCCAUGCCGUAAACGUUGGGAACUAGAUGUAGGGACCAUUCCACGGUUUCUGUGUCGCAGCUAACGCAUUAAGUUCCCGCCUGGGGAAGUCGGCCGCAAGGCUAAAACUCAAAGGAAUUGACGGCUGGAGACGNGCGACGACGACGACGAGGAGAGG